rnacentral:rRNA from 1 species
AGUUCCCUGGUGAGGGACGCCACACAGGGUGAGAGCCCCGUAUGGUCGGACACCGAGCCUCUGUAAAGCUCCUUCGACGAGUCGAGUAGUUUGGGAAUGCUGCUCAAAAUGGGAGGUAUAUGUCUUCUAAAGCUAAAUAUUGGCCAGAGACCGAUAGCGCACAAGUAGAGUGAUCGAAAGAUGAAAAGCACUUUGAAAAGAGGGUUAAAAAGUACGUGAAAUUGUUGAAAGGGAAGCGCCUAUGACCAGACUUGCGCCCGGUGAAUCACCCAGCGUUCUCGCUGGUGCACUUUGCCGGGCACAGGCCAGCAUCAGUUCAGCGCGGGGGAGAAAGGCUUCGGGAAUGUGGCUCCCUCGGGAGUGUUAUAGCCCGCUGCGUAAUGCCCUGCGCCGGACUGAGGUACGCGCAUUGCAAGGAUGCUGGCGUAAUGGUCAUCAGCGACCCGUCUUGAAACACGGACCAAGGAGUCGUCUUCGUAUGCGAGUGUUCGGGUGUCAAACCCCUACGCGUAAUGAAAGUGAACGUAGGUGAGAGCUUCGGCGCAUCACCUAACCGAUCCUGAUGUUCUCUUAUGGAUUUGAUUUAAAUAAUACCGGGCCUGACCCGAAAGAAAGUAUGGUAUGCUUGUCUUGUGUGAGGCGAGACGAAACUAAGGGUGGAGGCU